rnacentral:rRNA from 1 species
GGGGAAUUUUGGACUAUGGGCGCAAGCCUGAUCCAGCAAUGCCGCGUGCAGGAAGAAGGCCUUCGGGUUGUAAACUGCUUUUGUACGGAACGAAACGGUUCUCUCUAAUACAGGGGGCUAAUGACGGUACCGUAAGAAUAAGCACCGGCUAACUACGUGCCAGCAGCCGCGGUAAUACGUAGGGUGCAAGCGUUAAUCGGAAUUACUGGGCGUAAAGCGUGCGCAGGCGGUUUUGUAAGACAGAGGUGAAAUCCCCGGGCUCAACCUGGGAACUGCCUUUGUGACUGCAAAGCUGGAGUGCGGCAGAGGGGGAUGGAAUUCCGCGUGUAGCAGUGAAAUGCGUAGAUAUGCGGAGGAACACCGAUGGCGAAGGCAAUCCCCUGGGCCUGCACUGACGCUCGUGCACGAAAGCGUGGGGAGCAAAC